GAUGAAUCUUUUCGGCAUAACCCGAUGAAUCCUCCCGGCAUAACCCGAUGAAUCUUCCCGGCAUAACCCGAUGAAUUUUUCGGCAUAACCCGAUAAACCUUCCCGGCACGAUCCGAUGAAUCCUCCCGGCAUAACCCGAUGAAUCUUUUCGGCAUAACCCGAUGAAUCUUUUCGGCAUAAUCCGAUAAAUCUUCCCGGCAUAACCCGAUGAAUUUUCCGGCAUAACCCGAUGAAUCCUCCCAGCAUGACUCGAUGAAUCUUUUCAGCAUAACCCGAGAACUCUUUUCCACGUAAUCAGCAUUAGGGUUUUAAACCUUAAACUGAACUUUUUCCUUUUAGCCGGCAUUAGAGUCUUAAACUCUAAACUGAGCUUUUCCAUGCAAUAAGCAUUAGGGUUUUAAAACCCUAAACUGAAUUUUCCUUUUAGUCAGCAUUAAGGUUUUAAACCCUAAACUGAACUUUUUCCUUUCAGCCAGCAUUAGAGUUUUAAACUCUAAACUGAACUUUUUUCAUGCAAUCAGCAUUAGGGCUUUAAA
rnacentral:lncRNA from 1 species